rnacentral:tRNA from 1 species
UCAAUUAAAGUCAAAAAGAGACAUUUUAUUGUUAAUAAAAAAACUGAAUAUUAAUAUUCUAAUUGAG